rnacentral:rRNA from 1 species
UACAGAGGUCUCAAGCGUUGUUCGGAUUCAUUGGGCGUAAAGGGUGCGUAGCGGCGCCGUAAGUCAGGUGUGAAAUUUCGGAGCUUAACUCCGAAACUGCAUUUGAUACUGCGGUGCUUGAGGACUGGAGAGGAGACUGGAAUUCAUGGUGUAGCAGUGAAAUGCGUAGAGAUCAUGAGGAAGACCAGUGGCGAAGGCGGGUCUCUGGACAGUUCCUGACGCUGAGGCACGAAGGCCAGGGGAGCAAACGGG